UACGUAGGUGACAAGCGUUGUCCGGAUUUACUGGGCGUAAAGAGCGCGCAGGCGGUCGUUCACGUCGAGUGUGAAAGCCCCCGGCUCAACUGGGGAGGGUCACUCGAUACUGAUCGACUCGAAGGCAGGAGAGGGAAGCGGAAUUCCCGGUGUAGUGGUGAAAUGCGUAGAUAUCGGGAGGAACACCAGUGGCGAAGGCGGCUUUCUGGCCUGCUCUUGACGCUGAGGCGCGAAAGCUAGGGUAGCAAACGGG
rnacentral:rRNA from 1 species